GCGUCGUUAGCGCAAUAGGCAGCGCGUCAGUCUCAUAAUCAAAUCUAGAAAUCUGAAGGUCGUGAGUUCGAUCCUCACACGGGGCC
rfam:Nematostella vectensis strain CH2 x CH6 NEMVEscaffold_4283_Cont47468, whole genome shotgun sequence.